GGUGGCUCAGUGGCAGAGCGCUUGCCUUGCAUGCAUAAGGCCCUGGGUUCGAUUCCUCAGCACCA
rfam:Dipodomys ordii contig_49392, whole genome shotgun sequence.